rnacentral:misc_RNA from 1 species
AACCUAGCACACCUGCGGUGUGUACCUGCGGAAGGAUCAUUAGUGAUUUGGCCGAAAGGCCUUUAAUCCAAUCCUCACACCUGUGAACUAGUCGGUGGACCAUGUCCGCCGGAUUUUACAACUUUGUGUCAUGAACGUGAAUGUAUAAAAACAAAAACAAAACUUUCAACAACGGAUCU